rnacentral:rRNA from 1 species
UACGGGGGGGGUAAGCGUUGUUCGGAAUUACUGGGCGUAAAGGGCUCGUAGGCGGCCAACUAAGUCGGACGUGAAAUCCCUCAGCUUAACUGGGGAACUGCGUCCGAUACUGGAUGGCUUGGAUUUGGGAGAGGGAUGCGGAAUUCCAGGUGUAGCGGUGAAAUGCGUAGAUAUCAGGAGGAACACCUGUGGUGUAGACAGCUUACUGGACCAUUUCUGACGCUGAGACACGAAAGCGUGGGUAGCAAACAGG